GUUCUUGGCGUUGCACAUUCCUCGUGAUAGUGCAGUGCCGAAGGGAAGCCGUUAAGAACGCUGCUUGGGGAGUACGAUCGCAAGAUUGAAACUUAAAGGAAUUGGCGGGGGAGCACCACAAGCCGUGGAUGCUGCGGUUCAAUUGGACUCAACGCCGGAAACAUUACCAGAAGAGACAGCAGGAUGAUGCUCAAGCUGAAGACUUUAGCAGACAAGCUGAGAGGUAUUGCAUGGCCAGCGCCAGUUCGUGCCGUGAGGUGUCAGGUUAAGUCCUGCAACGAACGAGAUCCCUGUGUACAGUUGCAAACCUAGAAGUGAUUUUGGGUGCACUCUGUACAGACUGCCCGCGUGAAGUGGGAGGAAGGAAGGGGCGACGCUAGGUCCGUAUGGUCCGAAUCUUCUGGGCCACACGUGGCAUACAAUGGUUGGGACAGUGCGUUGCAACUCCGAAAGGAGAAGCUAAUCGAUAAACCCAACCUAAGUUCGGAUCGAGGGCUGCAACUCGCCCUCGUGAAGCUGGAAUGGCUAGUAAUCGCGUGUCAUCAUCGCGCGGUGAAUAUGUCCACGCUCCUUGCACACACCGCCCG
rnacentral:rRNA from 1 species